AAUAUCUAUGGAAAAAUAAUUAAUACAAUUUUAAUUUGAAAUGGAGUGGCCAUUUUAAACAAGAACCUCUUCGACCAAACAGAGACCAGCCGACGAGUAAGGAGCCGGAUAAUUUGCAAAAAUUGAAGCCGAUCCUGGAUUGAAAGAACAAGGAAAAGUCCAAGACCAAAGAUUCUGUUACUGACUGCCCAUUGCCAUUGACAAUGCAUAUUGAAAAAAACAGACAACACGGAUAGAAAUGAGGAAAAACUGCCAUAGGAAACGUAACGGGAAAUCUGGAGAGAGUACCGAAUGCAUGGAACCUUCGGCUAUUGGCUGUAGACUGUGUUUGAGAAAGUCUUUUCGAAACCUUAUAUGAAUGUCCCACCGUUUUUUUCAGGGGUUCACCUUCGUGACUUGGCAGUAAUCAAAACAACAACAAACUCAUCAAUUCCUGACACCUCCAAUUUGGCCACGAAAUGCAAUAUAUUGCUUUGUCACCAGGUCAGUGUUGAACGAAAUAAAUAAUUUAUUUCUAAGGCACCAGGGACGGUUUAUUUUUGCAUUUCAGAACAAAAAGGGAAUUUAAAAAAAAAAAAAAAAAAAAAUCAAAGAAUACAAAUGGUUAGACCGGGCAGUAUAAAUCAGGAAGA